CCUACGGGUGGCAGCAGUGGGGGAUAUUGCACAAUGGGGGAAACCCUGAUGCAGCGACGCCGCGUGGGUGAAGAAGCGCCUCGGCGCGUAAAGCCCUGUCAGCAGGGAAGAAAAAGACGGUACCUGAAGAAGCAGCCCCGGCUAACUACGUGCCAGCAGCCGCGGUAAUACGUAGGGGGCAAGCGUGAUCCGGAUUUACUGGGUGUAAAGGGGGCGCAGACGGCGAUGCAAGCCAGGAGUGAAAGCCCGGGGCCCAACCCCGGGACUGCUCUUGGAACUGGGUGGCUAGAGUGCAGGAGGGGCAGGCGGAAUUCCUGGUGUAGCGGUGAAAUGCGUAGAUAUCAGGAGGAACACCGGUGGCGAAGGCGGCCUGCUGGACUGCAACUGACGUUGAGGCCCGAAAGCGUGGGGAGCAAACAGGAUUAGAUACCCGAGUAGUC
rnacentral:rRNA from 1 species